rnacentral:rRNA from 1 species
UGGGGAAUUUUGGACAAUGGGCGAAAGCCUGAUCCAGCAAUGCCGCGUGUGUGAAGAAGGCCUUCGGGUUGUAAAGCACUUUUGUCCGGAAAGAAAUCCUCUGGGUUAAUACCUCGGGGGGAUGACGGUACCGGAAGAAUAAGCACCGGCUAACUACGUGCCAGCAGCCGCGGUAAUACGUAGGGUGCAAGCGUUAAUCGGAAUUACUGGGCGUAAAGCGUGCGCAGGCGGGUUUGUAAGACGGAUGUGAAAUCCCCGGGCUUAACCUGGGAACUGCAUUCGUGACUGCAAGGCUAGAGUAUGGCAGAGGGCGGUAGAAUUCCACGUGGUGCAGUGAAAUGCGUAGAGAUGUGGAGGAAUACCGAUGGCGAAGGCAGCCCCCUGGGCCAAUACUGACGCUCAUGCACGAAAGCGUGGGGAGCAAACA